rnacentral:rRNA from 1 species
GACGUAGGAUGCAAGCGUUGUUCGGAUUUAUUGGGCGCAAAGCGAGCGUAGGUGGCUAGUUAAGUCUGGUGUUAAAGCUAGGGGCUCAACCCCUGUGUUGCACUGGAAACUGGCUGGCUUGAGGAUGGUAGGGGAAGGUGGAAUUCCGAGUGUAGCGGUGAAAUGCGUAGAUAUUCGGAGGAACACCGGUGGCGAAAGCGACCUUCUGGGCCAUUUCUGACACUGAGGCUCGAAAGCUUGGGGAGCAAACGGG